AGAGUUUGAUCAUGGCUCAGAAUCAACGCUGGCGGCGUGCCUCAGACAUGCAAGUCGAACGCGAAAGUCCCCUUCGGGGGAUAAGUAGAGUGGCGUCCGGGUGAGUAACACGUAGGUAAUCUACCUUCGGGUGGGGAAUAACCCAGGGAAACUUGGGCUAAUACCGCAUAAUGCAGCGGCACCACAUGGUGACAGUUGUUAAAGCGGGGGAUCUUCGGAUCUCGCGCCUGAAGAGGAGCCUGCGGCAGAUUAGCUAGUUGGUAAGGUAACGGCUUACUAAGGCGACGAUCUGUAGCCGGCCUGAGAGGGCGGUCGGCCACACUGACACUGACAUACGGGUCAGACUCCUACGGGAGGCAGCAGUCGGGAAUUUUGGGCAAUGGGCGAAAGCCUGACCCAGCAACGCCGCGUGAAGGAUGAAAUCCCUCGGGAUGUAAACUUCGCAAGAAUGGGAAGAAUUAGUAGGGGUUAAUACCCCCUAUGAUGACGGUACCAUUUGUAAGCUCCGGCUAACUCCGUGCCAGCAGCCGCGGUA
rnacentral:rRNA from 1 species